rnacentral:rRNA from 1 species
UAGAGAGAAGCUUGCUUCUCUUGAGAGCGGCGGACGGGUGAGUAAUGCCUAGGAAUCUGCCUGGUAGUGGGGGAUAACGCUCGGAAACGGACGCUAAUACCGCAUACGUCCUACGGGAGAAAGCAGGGGACCUUCGGGCCUUGCGCUAUCAGAUGAGCCUAGGUCGGAUUAGCUAGUUGGUGAGGUAAUGGCUCACCAAGGCGACGAUCCGUAACUGGUCUGAGAGGAUGAUCAGUCACACUGGAACUGAGACACGGUCCAGACUCCUACGGGAGGCAGCAGUGGGGAAUAUUGGACAAUGGGCGAAAGCCUGAUCCAGCCAUGCCGCGUGUGUGAAGAAGGUCUUCGGAUUGUAAAGCACUUUAAGUUGGGAGGAAGGGCAUUAACCUAAUACGUUGGUGUCUUGACGUUACCGACAGAAUAAGCACCGGCUAACUCUGUGCCAGCAGCCGCGGUAAUACAGAGGGUGCAAGCGUUAAUCGGAAUUACUGGGCGUAAAGCGCGCGUAGGUGGUUCGUUAAGUUGGAUGUGAAAUCCCCGGGCUCAACCUGGGAACUGCAUUCAAAACUGACGAGCUAGAGUAUGGUAGAGGGUGGUGGAAUUUCCUGUGUAGCGGUGAAAUGCGUAGAUAUAGGAAGGAACACCAGUGGCGAAGGCGACCACCUGGACUGAUACUGACACUGAGGUGCGAAAGCGUGGGGAGCAAACAGGAUUAGAUACCCUGGUAGUCCACGCCGUAAACGAUGUCAACUAGCCGUUGGGAGCCUUGAGCUCUUAGUGGCGCAGCUAACGCAUUAAGUUGACCGCCUGGGGAGUACGGCCGCAAGGUUAAAACUCAAAUGAAUUG